rnacentral:rRNA from 1 species
UACGGCGGGAGCAAGCGUUGUUCGGAUUUACUGGGCGUAAAGGGCGCGUAGGCGGCCACCGCAAGUCGACUGUGAAAUCUCCGGGCUUAACCCGGAAAGGUCAGCCGAUACUGCGGGGCUAGAGUGCAGAAGGGGCAACUGGAAUUCUCGGUGUAGCGGUGAAAUGCGUAGAUAUCGAGAGGAACACCUGCGGCGAAGGCGGGUUGCUGGGCUGACACUGACGCUGAGGCGCGAAAGCUAGGGGAGCGAACGGG